rnacentral:rRNA from 1 species
AUUGAACGCUGGCGGCAGGCCUAACACAUGCAAGUCGAGCGAGCGGCGGACGUGUGAGUAAUGUAUGGGGCUCUGCCCGAUAGAGGGGGAUAACUACUGGAAGGGGUGGAUAAUCCCACAUACUCUCGGCUGCCCCCAUGGGGGAUUAGCUAGGAGGUGGGGUAAAGGCUCAUCUAGGCGACGACCUCUAGCUGGUCUGAGAGGAUGAACAGCCACACUGGGACUGAGACACGGCCCAGACUCCUACGGGAGGCAGCAGUGGGGAAUAUUGCACAAUGGGCGCAAGCCUGAUGCAGCCAUGCCGCGUGUAUGAAGAAGGCCUUAGGGUUGUAAAGUACUUUCAGCGGGGAGGCGUUACCCGCAGAAGAAGCACCGGCUAACUCCGUGCCAGCCGCCGCGGUAAUAC